GACGUAGGGCGCGAGCGUUGUCCGGAUUUAUUGGGCGUAAAGAGCUCGUAGGCGGUUCGGUAAGUCAGGUGUGAAAUCUCCACGCUCAACGUGGAGGCGCCACCUGAAACUGCCGUGACUCGAGUCCGGUAGGGGAGUGUGGAAUUCCCGGUGUAGCGGUGAAAUGCGUAGAUAUCUGGAGGGACACCGGUGGCGAAGGCGGCAUUCUGGACUGUAACUGACACUGAGGAACGAAAGCCAGGGGAGCAAACGGG
rnacentral:rRNA from 1 species